GCCACCCAGUCAAAUCCAGACUAGAUCAGCUGAGCCUCAGUCAACCUCUCUGAGAAUACAUGAUAGUUGUGUUAAGCCUCUGAGCUUUCAGGUCAUUUGUUAUCCAGCAUAAUUGUGGCAAUAGCUAACUGAUAGCUAUGCUGCCAGAAGACCAGGAUGAAGCAUCGAGCAUUUAGUAGGUGCCCAACACAUGAUGAAUGCUUACUAUUGGUUAUCAAUUGAGCCUUACUGGCAGGCAUCAUAAAAGGAUAUGAGAACAUCAGACCUGGAAGAGCCUGGAAAGGAGUUACAAGAAUGGAGAAACAACCUCGAGUGGAGCUGUGACUUGCUGGAAAUCAUGGAGGGAAUUGUGGCCAAGCUUGGACUAGCACCCGAGGCUGGUAGCUCUCCAAGGCAGUGAGCUGACUUCCCUGCUUCCUGUGCGCCUGCCCAUUGAUAACCAUAGCUUCCUCUUGCUUCCUCUUUGGCUACGUAUGUGAGCUUCAUGUCAUCGUGCCUGGAUUUUGAUGAAUGAAGGAAGGAAAAAAACCGGCCAUGUUGGAAGAACUGCCUUAGUGGUGCCUCCUGAUUUCCUGUGCCAGCAUAGGGGGUAGAGGAUUUCCUCCAGUCCUGUGAAAUAAUCACAGGAGCUCAUAUUUAUCCAGCUCGCUGUAUGUGCAAGACUCUGAACCAAGCACUUGCAUGCGGCAACUCAGCUCAGGCUCACAGUAAUCCUAUGAGACUGUGGAAUGCCAGGGUAGAGACCCCCUGGCUGUCAGGAAGAGGGACGUCUGGGGGUGCAGCGGCAUGCGCUGCCAGGACCAAGGCCUCCGCCUCCUGCCCUCCAUCCCAGAGCAGCUCCCUGGGCUCACGGGCAAGGAGGGGGGAGAGGUCAGUGUGGGGCCCUCACACAUCCCUUGCCCCCUCCCCCGCACCAAGUGGGUUCAAAAUUGCUUGGUGCCCCACCUCAUGCCCCAAAGUCAGAGCAGAGGAGAUGGGCAGGGACCGUGGCUCACUCCCUGCCACAGCCCCCAUGCUGUU